UCUAAUAGUUUUUUUUUUUUUUAUUGUUUUGAAGAAAUCAAGCAACACCAAUACAAUGCAUGGUUAAGACAACAACAACUGAAACAACAAUAAGCCAAAACAGAAUAACAACAACAACAACAUAAACCAAUUCGAGAACAAUGGACUCAUGAAGAAAAUCAAGACACAAAGCGAAACCUUCCAAGAGAAUACCUGUCUUAGCAAGUUGCCUUAGAUAAACCACACUUAUCCGGGAGUUUAGAAGCAAGGUCUAAGUUGAUCCCACUAAGAAAGGGAUUUGUUUUGGUUUUCUGCUUGCAGAGACACUGGACGUCAGCGUUAGCUAGGGCACUGCAGCAAGAGCCCUUGGGAUCAAUGCGGGUGGUCAAUGGGUUCUUGGUCUGCACAUAGGGCUUGCAAGAGUACAGAUCAGCAACGCUCUUACCGCAGAACUCUCCAGUCGCUGCCGUGAGUGUCAAGUCGUCACAAUAUUGAUGUUAUGCACGUAGAAAAGAAUGUGUCCGAUGCUAUAUUGUCUCUGUUGAUGCAAAGUGCGAAGUCAAAAGAUGGGUUGAAAGCAAGAAAAGACUUAGAAGAUAUUGGAAUCAGAAAGCACUUGCACACAGAGGUGAGGGGAAAGAAAACAUACUUACCUCCUGCUGCCUACUGGUUAUCGAAGAGAGAGAAGACCAUUUUCUGCCAAAGGUUAGCUAAGUUUAGAGGCCCUGAUGGUUAUUGUGGUAAUAUUGCGAAUAGUGUUUCAGUUAACCCUCCAAAUAUUGGUAGUUUAAAGUCGCAUGAUCAUCAUGUCUUAGUACAGAACUUGUUACCAGCUGCAUUAAGAGGGUUGUUACAUAGGGGUCCUAGGAUAGCCAUAAAUAGAUUAUGCAGUUACUUCAACAGGUUGUGUCAGCGCAUCAUUGACCCAGAGAAACUUAUAUCCAUGGAGACAGAGUUUGUGGAGACAAUGUGUCAGCUGGAGCGCUUCUUCCCUCCAGCCCUUUUUGAUAUCAUGUUUCACCUUCCACUACAUUUAUCAAGAGAGGCACGGUUGGGAGGACCAGUUCACUUCCGAUGGAUGUAUCCCUUCGAAAGGUUUGAUCAACAUCUCUCUUCAAUAUAUCCACUUCCCACAAUGAUGUUUGACUAAUAUUCAUAUUUCCUGAGUUAUAGGUACAUGAAAACACUAAAGGCUUUUGUUAAGAAUUAUGCAAGGCCAGAAGCAUGUAUGGCUGAGGCGUAUUUAGCUGGAGAAUGUGUUGCAUUUUGUUUAGAGUUCCUUAAAGAAUCAGUACCAGUUCAAGAAGCAGUUAAUCGUAAUGAAGAUGUUGAGGCUGAUAGAAUGGUGGUUGAAGGCCGACCUCUGCAGAAGGGUAUAGAGGUUACCCUGUCAGAUAAAGAUAGAGACAUUGCACAUCGAUAUGUGCUAAUGAACAUGGCAUCUUUGGAUCCCUUUCUUGAGUAAGUAAUUCUCUAUGUUUCUUCUACUUGUUUUACUCAUAAUUUCAUUUUCAUAUACUGUUGUUUAAUUUAAAAUCAGGAUGCAUUUGGAAGAGUUGCAAGCUAAGGAUGCUCGAUUGGCUAAAAAUGAAACUUUGUUAUGGAAAAACCAUACUGAACACUUUACAGAAUGGCUUAAAAAUAAGGUUACAAACUCCAAAUUCUUUUCUUGAUUAUUAUUGUAAAUACUGGUUAGCUUGUUUGGUGAUGACUGGUUAGCUUGUUUGGUGAUGACUAGUUAGCUUGUAUCAUGAUGCCUGGUUUGUAUCUUGAAGAACAUGUCCAUAUUUUAGCGAAUUGAUGUCUGAGUAGCUUAUAGCUUGAUGAAACUGUCUGGAUUUUUAGUAUUUUUAUGACUGGUUAGCUUGUAGAUUGAUGAUUGGUUUCGUGGUACAUAUUAUCAUGUUUUGAUUAUAAUUUAAGUACCUCGGCUUGAUGAUAAUCCUCUGAUUUCCUGCGGCAGAUUCAUUUAGACUCAAAAGAUAGUCAUUCUAAGGAGAUAAGGUGGUUGGCAUUUGGACCAAGAAAUGUUGCUUUAGCACAUAAAGGAUUCAUCAUCAAUGGCCAACGGUUUCAUACUGAUGCGGUCAAGCUGAAGACACAAAACAGUGGAGUAACUUAUGAAGCCUUUAGCAUGUGUAGAUCAAGUGCAAGAGAUAUGAGACAGGUCGCGGAUAUGAUUACAUACUAUGGAGUGAUAAAGGAGAUUUUGGUCAUCGACUAUCACAUGUUCAAAGUGCCACUCUUUAGAUGCAACUGGGCAAACACAGCGAAUGGUGUGAAGGAAGAAGAUGGCUUCACUCUUGUUAACCUUCAUAUGAACCAAGCAGCCUAUUUGAAAGAUCCAUUCAUUCUACCUUCUCAAGCGAAACAGGUUUUCUACUCUAGGGAGGAUGAUGCUUCAAAUUGGUAUGUUGUUAUGAGAGCACCACCUAGAGGUUAUCAUGAGUUGGAAACAGAAGAGGAUUUAGGUGGUGCUCCUUUACCUGUCCAAGAAGUUGAUGAUAUGGGUGAUGAUAUGGAUGAUGAUAGUGUAUAUGUUAGGGAUGAUUGUGAAGGUUUAUUAGUGGUAGAUUGAUGAUAUGUUGUAUGCUUGUGUGAUGGUUUGUAUGAAUGUGAUAAUGUUGUGUUAUGGGAUUUGAAUAAUUAUAUUGAUUUUUGGAAUUUUAAUAAUUUAUAUUGUUUUUAUUUCAUAUUUUCGAAUUAAUUAUUUAAAAAUCAAUUCAAUAAUUAUUAUUAAUUAAUUUUGGGAUAAUUAUAAAACUAAUUAAUAACACGAAACAUUUGCUAUCUUUGCUACUAGAAAAAAUCAAAUUAUUUGGUUCUAAUAACAUUUAUUAAACGUUAUUAUAAAUACUAACAAUUGUGAACACAAAAGCGCUAUUGUUAUACACUUAGUAAUAGCACAAAGGAAAAUCGCUAUUAAAAGGGUUAGACUUUUUAUAACGGGUGAUGUCUGAGCGUCCAAGGAAACGCUAUUAAACCAAAAUGAUAGCGCUUUUCGUCCGCUAUUACUAACCACAUUUCUUCUAGUGAUGGUUAGUUGACGUAGAUCUCUAACUCCUACAUAAAAUAACCAUAUUUGCAUGACUAGUCGAGCUUCAGCCUAAACACUUCUCUUGUUUAAAAGAAAAUCGAUACUGAUUUUACAUAUAAAUUAUAAAUAAUGAAGAUAAAUGCAACGAGAAACUAUUUUUCUUUAAAAGUUAUAUACGCGAAGUUCCUUUUGUCCAAAUCAACAUUAUCAUUACAUAAGCAGGCAUUUGCAAUGUGAUGUACGUGGAAAGUUACUAAACUAGAUAUGGCUAGAUUCGUGGACUGGUUAAAGUUAGUUGUGGUUUUGUUUAAUAUAUGUGUAGAAAAACACGUUUAAGGUUAUUAUAUAUACCUUUUCUGGCGAGAUUCGACAUGACCCCAAUCAGGUAAUCAUGUGUAUGCAUGUUUGCUCGAUGCUCAUCAUUGUGAACAACUGUAAUCUAAGUGGCUACAUAUCAUUUAUAAUUUGAUGAUCCAUAUUGUCUACAAACUGUUACCGAUAGGUUUCAGGACUAUUGUAGACUGCUUACCAGAAUAUGUUUCACUUGAACAAGUAAUAUGAGAAUAUACACAAACGUUUUUUUAAAGCACAGUUACUGAUGGAUUUGUAAGAUUAAUUGAUAUUUCAAUAGGCUUUAGUGUUUUAUUGAACUUGCACGUGAGUUUAUAGCCAAGGAGACCAAAAUUCCUGAUUCUUUGGUCAUGGUUAGCAUCCUUGGUGCAUGUUCUUUACAAGCUUCAAUGGAACCAGUGAAGGAGAUUCUUGGUCACGGCUUCUAUGGAAUCUCUGGUUUUUAUUCAUUCUCUCAUCGUGCCUGUAACAUGUUUUAGAGUUGAAGUGAACUGUUCACUGUAUGUUUCCUUUCUGCAGUCAUUCUCUAAUAGUUUUUUUUUUUUUUAUUGUUUUGAAGAAAUCAAGCAACACCAAUACAAUGCAUGGUUAAGACAACAACAACUGAAACAACAAUAAGCCAAAACAGAAUAACAACAACAACAACAUAAACCAAUUCGAGAACAAUGGACUCAUGAAGAAAAUCAAGACACAAAGCGAAACCUUCCAAGAGAAUACCUGUCUUAGCAAGUUGCCUUAGAUAAACCACACUUAUCCGGGAGUUUAGAAGCAAGGUCUAAGUUGAUCCCACUAAGAAAGGGAUUUGUUUUGGUUUUCUGCUUGCAGAGACACUGGACGUCAGCGUUAGCUAGGGCACUGCAGCAAGAGCCCUUGGGAUCAAUGCGGGUGGUCAAUGGGUUCUUGGUCUGCACAUAGGGCUUGCAAGAGUACAGAUCAGCAACGCUCUUACCGCAGAACUCUCCAGUCGCUGCCGUGAGUGUCAAGGCAAGAACCAAGGUAAUAAAGACAAGCUUAGUGUUUGGUUCCAUGGCUUUUUGUACUUUUAAAGAGUUCUUCACCAAUUGUUUUGCAACUAUUUGAU
rnacentral:lncRNA from 1 species